GGGGAAUAUUGCGCAAUGGGCGAAAGCCUGACGCAGCGACGCCGCGUGAGGGACGAAGGCCUUCGGGUUGUAAACCUCUUUCAGCAGGGACGAAGCCGCAAGGUGACUGUACCUGCAGAAGAAGCACCGGCUAACUACGUGCCAGCAGCCGCGGUAAUACGUAGGGUGCAAGCGUUGUCCGGAAUUAUUGGGCGUAAAGAGCUCGUAGGCGGUCUGUCGCGUCGGAUGUGAAAACCCAGGGCUCAACCCUGGGCCUGCAUCCGAUACGGGCAGACUAGAGUUCGGCAGGGGAGACUGGAAUUCCUGGUGUAGCGGUGAAAUGCGCAGAUAUCAGGAGGAACACCGGUGGCGAAGGCGGGUCUCUGGGCCGAUACUGACGCUGAGGAGCGAAAGCGUGGGGAGCAAAC
rnacentral:rRNA from 1 species